UGCAUGUCUCAGUAUAAGUCAUUUUACGACGAAACUGCGAAUGGCUCAUUAAAACAGUUAUAGUUUCUUUGCUGGUCAAUCGUUAUACGGAUAACUGUGGUAAUUCUAGAGCUAAUACGUGCACAAAGACCCGACUUCACGGAAGGGUUGCAUUCAUUAGAUACAGAACCAUCCCCUUCGGGGUUUUGGAUGAUCCAUAAUGAAUGAGCGGAGCGCAUGGCUUGUGUCGGCGCUGUAGCAUUCAAGUUUCUGACCUAUCAGCUUUCGACGGUAGGGUAUUGGCCUACCGUGGCAUUGACGGGUAACGGAGAAUUAGGGUUCGAUUCCGGAGAGGGAGCCCGAGAAACGGCUACCACAUCUAAGGAAGGCAGCAGGCGCGCAAAUUACCCAAUUUUUACACAGGGAGGUAGUGACAAGAAAUAACAGUGCUGUUCUCUUUGAGAAUAUGCAUCUGGAAUGAUUUGCAUGUAAAUAUCGCUUGGACUAUCAAUUGGAGGGCAAGUCUGGUGCCAGCAGCCGCGGUAAUUCCAGCUCCAUUAGUGUAUAUUAAAGUUGUUGCGGUUAAAAAGCUCGUAGUUGGAUUUCUGUUGGGUAUCGCGUGGUCUGCUCCUCGAGUACGUAUCUGCGUCGAUCCUGGCAUCCUCGCAACGCUCUGUGGCAUUAAUUUGCUGCUUGGCAUGCGACUUUUACUUUGAGGAAAUUAGAGUGUUCACGGCAGGCAUUUGCUUUGAAUAUAUUAGCAUGGAAUAAUAACAUAGGACUUCGGUUUUAUUUUGUUGGUUUCUAAGGCUGAAGUAAUGAUUAAUAGGGACAAUUGGGGGCACUCGUACAAAUCCGUCAGAGGUGGAAUUCUUGGAUUGGAUUUUGACGAACUACUGC
rnacentral:rRNA from 1 species